AGAGUUUGAUCCUGGCUCAGAACGAACGUUGGCGGCGUGGAUUAGGCAUGCAAGUCGAACGCGAAAGGGGCUUCGGCCCCGAGUAAAGUGGCGAACGGGUGAGUAACGCGUGGGGAAUCUGCCCUAGAGCGGGGAAUAACACUCCCAACGGGGUGCUAAUACCGCAUAACAUCGCUGGAUGGCAUCAUUCGGCGAUCAAAGGUGGGGAUCGCAAGACCUGCCACUCUAGGAUGAUCCCGCGUCCGAUUAGCUAGUUGGUAGGGUAACGGCCUACCAAGGCUCCGAUCGGUAGCUGGUCUGAGAGGAUGGUCAGCCACACUGGGACUGAGAUACGGCCCAGACUCCUACGGGAGGCAGCAGUCGAGAGGCUUCGGCAAUGGGCGAAAGCCUGACCGAGCGACGCCGCGUGAGCGAUGAAGCCCUUCGGGGUGUAAAGCUCUUUUGUGGGGGAAGAACUAGUGCGACCUAAUACGUCGUACUUUGACGGUACCCUGCGAAUAAGCUCCGGCUAACUCCGUGCCAGCAGCCGCGGUAAUACGGGGGGAGCAAACGUUGUUCGGAAUCACUGGGCGUAAAGGGCGCGUAGGCGGUCCUGUAAGUGGUGUGUGAAAUCCGAUGGCUCAACCAUCGAGCUGCGCUCCAUACUGCAGGACUUGAGUACAGCAGAGGAAAGUGGAAUUCCCGGUGUAGCGGUGAAAUGCGUAGAUAUCGGGAGGAACACCGUUGGCGAAGGCGACUUUCUGGGCUGCUACUGACGCUGAUGCGCGAAAGCCAGGGGAGCGAACAGGAUUAGAUACCCUGGUAGUCCUGGCCGUAAACGGUGGACACUAGGUGUUGGAGGCAUCGACCCCUCCAGUGCCGCAGCUAACGCAUUAAGUGUCCCGCCUGGGGAGUACGACCGCAAGGUUGAAACUCAAAGGAAUUGACGG
rnacentral:rRNA from 1 species